rnacentral:rRNA from 1 species
UACGGAAGGCAGCAGUGGGGAAUAUUGCACAAUGGGCGCAAGCCUGAUGCAGCCAUGCCGCGUGUAUGAAGAAGGGCCUUCGGGUUGUAAAGUACUUUCAGUCGUGAGGAAGGUGUUAAGGUUAAUAACCUUAGCAAUUGACGUUAGCGACAGAAGAAGCACCGGCUAACUCCGUGCCAGCAGCCGCGGUAAUACGGAGGGUGCGAGCGUUAAUCGGAAUUACUGGGCUAAAGGGCACGCAGGCGGUUAAUUAAGUUGGAUGUGAAAUCCCCGGGCUUAACCUGGGAAUGGCAUUCAAGACUGGUUAGCUAGAGUCUUGUAGAGGGGGUAGAAUUCCAUGUGUAGCGGUGAAAUGCGUAGAGAUGUGGAGGAAUACCGGUGGCGAAGGCGGCCCCUGGACAAAGGACUGACGCUCAUGUGCGAAAGCGUGGGGAGCAAACAGGAUUAGAUACC